UGCCAGCCGCCGCGGUAAUACGAAGGGGGCUAGCGUUGUUCGGAAUCACUGGGCGUAAAGCGCACGUAGGCGGAUUUGUAAGUUAGGGGUGAAAUCCCGGGGCUCAACCUCGAAACUGCCUUUGAUACUGCAAGUCUAGAGUCCGAGAGAGGUGAGUGGAAUUCCUAGUGUAGAGGUGAAAUUCGUAGAUAUUAGGAAGAACACCAGUGGCGAAGGCGACUCACUGACACAUUUCUGACGCUGAGGCGCGAAAGCGUGGGGAGCAAACAGGAUUAGAUA
rnacentral:rRNA from 1 species